CACAUUCUUAUUUCAUAGCAGAACAACCCGCUGUCGAAUAAAUGAGUUAGCAUUGCAUUAUGAGCAACAUGUGAGCAGAAGGGUUGCAGAGUCGUGUUGGUAUGUGAGGCAAGGAUACAGAGCUGAAGUGGCAGACAUUACCAGCAGCAUAUUAAAGGUUCUGUCUGAUAAAAUUUACCGUGGUGUUUUCAGAUAAACUGUUUGUCCAGGACACAUGGAGAAUGACAAGAGCGUGAAUAUCAUCUCAGAAUAUGGGUCGUGAUAUGUGCUCGGCUAUCAAAAAGCAGUUUAUGUAAAAAUAAGCCAUAUUUUUCUAUAGUUUCAGGGAAAGAGAGAUAAAAUAGCUUAUAAAGGGAAUGAAGAUGUUGAUCCCGGACAGCCAGUCUUUUCAGCAGAAGUGAAAACACCAGCUCCAGAAGCAGUAGAACAAACUUGCCAAUUUUCUUUUCUAUUUGUAAAAUUCCUUGGACAUUUACAGGGAUUUUAUCAGAGGAUGAAUGGACUAGGCUUUCGGUUUCAUCUUCACAUCUCUAAUCAGGAGUGGGUAGCCCCUGCUUGAGGAGUCAGUAAGCAUCAUUUCAAAUGGUGAGAAUAUUGUUGAUGAGGUCGACUUAGAGACUGCUGUAUGAAUAUGUUGACGGUCUUACCAAAGUGGGCACUGAGACUCGUUCACUCUUUUAUUCCUCUCAUAUUUCUUCCCACAAUCCUCUUCAAAACAUCACCCUUCUUCACCCCUGGAAAAAAAUCACUCCGACGUUGUUGGAGCCUAAAUCGAUCAUUGCAUUCGUAAGCCUAGAAUCAAGGGAGCUGUUACUACUUUCCUUUACAAGACUCUUUUUGACAUUUUUCUUUAUAAAUGGUGCAAAAAGCAUAGGUUUCUCAUAGAAAGUCAUAAAAUAUGUUUUAUUUCAAAGAAGAUGCACAGUUUUGGUUAUUCUUGCCAUGCUUUAUUUACACAGUCAGGGCAGGUAUGGCACGUAGCAUUGAUUGCCUAGAUGGAAAUCUAGAGAUGCUAAUUUUUUUAAUGCAUUACUUUAUUUUGAAAGUAAAACUUGUUUUAGUGUUUUUUUUAAUCUAAAAUGCGGCAAUUUAAGUGAAUGAAUUUAGAACAUAAACAAGAUAGUAUUCCUAGGAUUUUUGUAAAAUUGAUUUUUCAGAUUUUUGUUUUUGCUUCAAAAUAAACCUUGUUGAAAUUAUAGUAAAAACUACAGUACUAUAACUAUCAGGAAAAUUUGACAGCUUUCAUGAAUGAAAACAUUUUUUUUCUAAUAGAGAACAUUUUUUUUUUCUUCUAUUUCUGCUACCCCCUCCUGGAUUUUUGUUGUUGUUGUUGUUAUUUUGGGGGGGCAGUGUUCUAAUCAGGUUCUUUACAUGGGUACUUUUUAAAAAAUAUAUCGAAUAUUUGAUAUUAAUUUUUCUUUGAAGUAGUGAAGGCUUUGCUAGAAAACUAUGAGCUCAAAAUGUGAUAUUCAUUAUAAAAUGUUAUGUGUCCUAACUGAGGAAACUUGAAUAUAAAUAAGUGUUAAUGAGUGUCCUGGGUAUCCUAUAAAGAAUAAUUCAUGCCCACUCAAUAAAUGAGUAGAGCCAGGGGCAAGGUGUGAUAAACAGUACCAGAUGAACAUGCUGGACUUCUGAAAGGACAGCAAUAGUAUGAGCACAAUAAUAAAUCCUUAAAAGACAAUAGUAAUUCUUCCAAGAAUUAUGGAAUGAUCAUUUUGCUCCUAAGGAGAGAGGCUUGGGGGGAAUCAACUUAUGUAUGUAAUUUUAAGAGUUUAUAUUUUUUUUCCAAUGAAAGUCUUUAUGAUCUCGUCUCCAAAUGUGAAAUUCUUUUGCUUACUCUGGGAAUGCAGGAUCAUCAGACCAACUUUCUUUCUUUUCUUGAAGAGAAUACUUGCGUGAAAGCCUUUGACAUGGUAUGUUUGAGAAGAAAAUGUUAAAAGAAAGUAGAUAUAACCUAGAGAUAAGCUAAGAGUAAUAUCUGGAGUACAUAGAUAAUUUGACAAGAAUGGAAAUUUCUCUACCUGCACGUCCCCAACAUGUAAAAGAUAUUUUCUGAGGCAUAGAUAAAAGUAUUUAAACUGUUGUCCUAUGAACUUUGUUCUAGUCUUGGAUGUCCAGUAACUUGCUUUGAAUUGUUCAUACAUUGUCUAAAUGCUGUUUUUAUAGAAAACUAUUUCCUCAGCUUUAAGCCAAUUUUCCUUUAGCCAGUUUGACUCCAUUAUUUCUAGCUGGCGUAAUCACAGACACAUGAAUGAGCCUCUCACAGUUGUGUUUCUCCAUGGAUCUGAAACCUUCAUUGUUUUGUACCUUUGACAUUUUUAUAAGCUAUAUCUAAGAUAAAUAUGCAAAACACUAUCCUAUCAAGUUGGAAAGGUUAAAUCAUCUCUAAUGUAUGAUGGAAAGAAAAGAGAAAAAAAUUUAAAUUAGGCUGAAUUUCUUUAUAGCUAUUAAACAUUUGCUCCAUGAUUAUAUUUAAUUUUCUACAACAGGAAAGUUGUUGGAGAUUGUUUAGCAUUAUUAUAUUCUGUUUCUAUUUUUGUUACAUUUAGUGGAGAAAAGUAAAGAUAACUUCUAAGCAUAUCCCAAGUUUUUUAAUUGUGUUGGCUUUAAGCUUAGAACAGACUUUCAGAGUUUAUGGUUUUUUUGAGUUGAAACAACAUUUUUAAAUAUAUGACAACAUUCAAAAGUAGGAGUAAAGAGUUAAUUAUCUCUUUCCUAAAACCCUUUUUUUCUGUGUUCUCCUUAUUAUCACUCAGCCGCCUUCUUUAAAAUCCUGUUUUGAGGGAGUUUCCAUCAUGGCUCAGCAGAAACGAAUCUGACUCGUAUCCAAGAGGAUGUAGGUUUGAUCCCUGGCCUCACUCAGUGGCUUAAGGAUCCGGUUUUGCUGUGAGCUGUGGUGCAGUUUGCACAUACAGCUCAGAUCUGGCGUUGCUGUGGCAUAGGCCGGCCCCUGCAGCUCUGAUUCAACCACUAGCCU
rnacentral:lncRNA from 1 species